rnacentral:rRNA from 1 species
GAUGAACGCUAGCGGCAGGCUUAACACAUGCAAGUCGUGGGGCAGCGCGAGGUAGCAAUACUUUGGCGGCGACCGGCAAAACGGGUGCGGAACACGUACGCAACCUUCCUCAGAGCGGGGAAUAGCCUCUCGAAAGAGAGAUUAAUACCCCAUAGUAUCUCGAAACUGCAUGGUUUGAGAUUAAAGCUUCGGCACUUUGAGAUGGGCGUGCGGCUGAUUAGGUAGUUGGUAGGUAACGGCCUACCAAGCCAACGAUCAGUAGCUGAUGUGAGAGCAUGAUCAGCCACACGGGCACUGAGACACGGGCCCGACUCCUACGGAGGCAGCAGUGAGGAAUAUUCGGUCAAUGGAGGAAACUACUGAACCAAGCCAUUGCCGCCGUGAAGGAU